GGGUUGUGAGGUUAAGCGACUAAGCGUACACGGUGGAUGCCCUGGCAGUCAGAGGCGAUGAAGGACGUGCUAAUCUGCGAUAAGCGUCGGUAAGGUGAUAUGAACCGUUAUAACCGGCGAUUUCCGAAUGGGGAAACCCAGUGUGUUUCGACACACUAUCAUUAACUGAAUCCAUAGGUUAAUGAGGCGAACCGGGGGAACUGAAACAUCUAAGUACCCCGAGGAAAAGAAAUCAACCGAGAUUCCCCCAGUAGCGGCGAGCGAACGGGGAGCAGCCCAGAGCCUGAAUCAGUAUGUGUGUUAGUGGAAGCGUCUGGAAAGGCGCGCGAUACAGGGUGACAGCCCCGUACACAAAAAUGCACAUGCUGUGAGCUCGAUGAGUAGGGCGGGACACGUGGUAUCCUGUCUGAAUAUGGGGGGACCAUCCUCCAAGGCUAAAUACUCCUGACUGACCGAUAGUGAACCAGUACCGUGAGGGAAAGGCGAAAAGAACCCCGGCGAGGGGAGUGAAAAAGAACCUGAAACCGUGUACGUACAAGCAGUGGGAGCACGCUUAGGCGUGUGACUGCGUACCUUUUGUAUAAUGGGUCAGCGACUUAUAUUCUGUAGCAAGGUUAACCGAAUAGGGGAGCCGAAGGGAAACCGAGUCUUAACUGGGCGUUAAGUUGCAGGGUAUAGACCCGAAACCCGGUGAUCUAGCCAUGGGCAGGUUGAAGGUUGGGUAACACUAACUGGAGGACCGAACCGACUAAUGUUGAAAAAUUAGCGGAUGACUUGUGGCUGGGGGUGAAAGGCCAAUCAAACCGGGAGAUAGCUGGUUCUCCCCGAAAGCUAUUUAGGUAGCGCCUCGUGAAUUCAUCUCCGGGGGUAGAGCACUGUUUCGGCAAGGGGGUCAUCCCGACUUACCAACCCGAUGCAAACUGCGAAUACCGGAGAAUGUUAUCACGGGAGACACACGGCGGGUGCUAACGUCCGUCGUGAAGAGGGAAACAACCCAGACCGCCAGCUAAGGUCCCAAAGUCAUGGUUAAGUGGGAAACGAUGUGGGAAGGCCCAGACAGCCAGGAUGUUGGCUUAGAAGCAGCCAUCAUUUAAAGAAAGCGUAAUAGCUCACUGGUCGAGUCGGCCUGCGCGGAAGAUGUAACGGGGCUAAACCAUGCACCGAAGCUGCGGCAGCGACACUAUGUGUUGUUGGGUAGGGGAGCGUUCUGUAAGCCUGUGAAGGUGUACUGUGAGGUAUGCUGGAGGUAUCAGAAGUGCGAAUGCUGACAUAAGUAACGAUAAAGCGGGUGAAAAGCCCGCUCGCCGGAAGACCAAGGGUUCCUGUCCAACGUUAAUCGGGGCAGGGUGAGUCGACCCCUAAGGCGAGGCCGAAAGGCGUAGUCGAUGGGAAACAGGUUAAUAUUCCUGUACUUGGUGUUACUGCGAAGGGGGGACGGAGAAGGCUAUGUUGGCCGGGCGACGGUUGUCCCGGUUUAAGCGUGUAGGCUGGUUUUCCAGGCAAAUCCGGAAAAUCAAGGCUGAGGCGUGAUGACGAGGCACUACGGUGCUGAAGCAACAAAUGCCCUGCUUCCAGGAAAAGCCUCUAAGCAUCAGGUAACAUCAAAUCGUACCCCAAACCGACACAGGUGGUCAGGUAGAGAAUACCAAGGCGCUUGAGAGAACUCGGGUGAAGGAACUAGGCAAAAUGGUGCCGUAACUUCGGGAGAAGGCACGCUGAUAUGUAGGUGAAGUCCCUCGCGGAUGGAGCUGAAAUCAGUCGAAGAUACCAGCUGGCUGCAACUGUUUAUUAAAAACACAGCACUGUGCAAACACGAAAGUGGACGUAUACGGUGUGACGCCUGCCCGGUGCCGGAAGGUUAAUUGAUGGGGUUAGCCGCAAGGCGAAGCUCUUGAUCGAAGCCCCGGUAAACGGCGGCCGUAACUAUAACGGUCCUAAGGUAGCGAAAUUCCUUGUCGGGUAAGUUCCGACCUGCACGAAUGGCGUAAUGAUGGCCAGGCUGUCUCCACCCGAGACUCAGUGAAAUUGAACUCGCUGUGAAGAUGCAGUGUACCCGCGGCAAGACGGAAAGACCCCGUGAACCUUUACUAUAGCUUGACACUGAACAUUGAGCCUUGAUGUGUAGGAUAGGUGGGAGGCUUGGAAGUGUGGACGCCAGUCUGCAUGGAGCCGACCUUGAAAUACCACCCUUUAAUGUUUGAUGUUCUAACGUUGACCCGUAAUCCGGGUUGCGGACAGUGUCUGGUGGGUAGUUUGACUGGGGCGGUCUCCUCCUAAAGAGUAACGGAGGAGCACGAAGGUUGGCUAAUCCUGGUCGGACAUCAGGAGGUUAGUGCAAUGGCAUAAGCCAGCUUGACUGCGAGCGUGACGGCGCGAGCAGGUGCGAAAGCAGGUCAUAGUGAUCCGGUGGUUCUGAAUGGAAGGGCCAUCGCUCAACGGAUAAAAGGUACUCCGGGGAUAACAGGCUGAUACCGCCCAAGAGUUCAUAUCGACGGCGGUGUUUGGCACCUCGAUGUCGGCUCAUCACAUCCUGGGGCUGAAGUAGGUCCCAAGGGUAUGGCUGUUCGCCAUUUAAAGUGGUACGCGAGCUGGGUUUAGAACGUCGUGAGACAGUUCGGUCCCUAUCUGCCGUGGGCGCUGGAGAACUGAGGGGGGCUGCUCCUAGUACGAGAGGACCGGAGUGGACGCAUCACUGGUGUUCGGGUUGUCAUGCCAAUGGCACUGCCCGGUAGCUAAAUGCGGAAGAGAUAAGUGCUGAAAGCAUCUAAGCACGAAACUUGCCCCGAGAUGAGUUCUCCCUGACUCCUUGAGAGUCCUGAAGGAACGUUGAAGACGACGACGUUGAUAGGCCGGGUGUGUAAGCGCAGCGAUGCGUUGAGCUAACCGGUACUAAUGAACCGUGAGGCUUAACCUUACAACGCCGAAGGUGUUU
rnacentral:rRNA from 1 species